rnacentral:tRNA from 1 species
CAUUGAGAAGCUAUACUAGCGUUAACCUUUUAAGUUAAAGACUGAGAGUACUCUAACCUCUCCUUAAUGA